UUUUAUUUUUAUUUUUUUAGCAAAAUUAUUUCAUUUAUCUGUGGACUUUUACUAUGUAAAUAGGCAUGAUUUAUGUUAAUUUAUGCAUGAUCUGAAUUAAAGCUAUGAAAGGCUUUAGGAAAACUUCCACUAUUUCUGAAGCUCUUCAGGGCAGGCACAGACUUUCAAGACUUCUCUGCACACUUCCUCAGUGGGCCUGAACAGACACUGGCCAGACAGAAUAGACCUCUUGGAGAUGGAAGAUCUGUUUAAAACAAUCCAUUCACUUGUUCAGUUCAGGGUCCAAAUCAGAUAUCAUAAAAACAGGGUUGCGUAGGGAGUCCAGGCAUUGUGCUCAUCGUUCCUACUAAAGGGUACAGGAAACCAGCCCCAACGCUGGCCCGGAUGUCUCGGAUGGGCAGAAGAAAGAAGCAGUAGGCACCCCUUUUUGCUCUGGGUUGUGUUUUGCCAUGCAGAUGGGUAGAUUCCCAAAGCCCUGCUUUGUGUAGAUUUCUGCUUUGUUUUGUGCUUCAGGGAGCAAUUCGAUGUCAUCGGCCCGUAGAUCUUCUGUGCAAUAAUCUGAUUUUAUCUUCAACUGAGAGCUUGAGGUCAUAGAGGAGCUGGAAGCUGCUGGGGGCCUGUGAAGCUCUAUGGACAGCCCGAGCCAGGGCUAAGGCUCCCUGGCCCCCUUCUGCCCAGUGGGUGCACUUGACAGCAUUGAAAGCCCCAUGCUCUUGGAGAGGCAGCGAUGAGGUCCAGCUCAGCAUCAGUAUCUGUCUUGAAUGCAUUCAUGGCCACGACGACAGGCACUCCAAAACAUUUUAGCAUUUUCUAUCUGUUUCCUCAAGUUACCUGAAGCCCUUUUCCACCAGUCCAGGUCCUCUUCUGUGUAAGCCUUGGGAAGAGGCAGUCCAGCGGCCCCCGUUGCAUCUUAAGAGCCCUGACAGUGGCAACAAGAACCACCAGGUGAGGCUGGAGACCAGAAUACCGGCACUUGAUGUUGAAGAACUUUUCCAUUCUAUGUCCGCUCGAACUCCUGCUUCUGUCACUACAAAGCCCUCAGGGCCAACCAGCUUGAGUGCAAUCCAGUCUGCAAUGAUGGAGGAAUUCCCAUGUGCAAUGUUGGUGAAAGGCCCAGCGUGGACAAAUACCGGCGUGCCCUCUAAGGUCUGCAUGAGAUUGGGCUUGAUCACAUCCUUCAUGAGCACCGUCAGCGCCCCGCUCACGCCCAGGUCUUCACAGCUGAUAGGCUCCCCUUUCUAUUGGACGCUACCACCAUUUUGCCCAGUCUUGCUCUCAUGUCUUCCAGAGAACUAGUGAGGGCCAGGACUGCCAUGAUUUCCUGGCCACAGAGAUAUCAAACUGGGCCGUGCGUGGUGUGGCCUUUCUCGGUUGGAGCCUGUCAAUGGUGAUCUUCCUCAGGAAUCAAUCGUUAGUAUCCAGCACUCUCUGCAUGUUAUGGUUUCUGGAUCAAUAUCUAGUCUUGCAAAUCUGUUUAUCUCAUCAUCUGUCAGCGCAGCGGGGUCAGUCUUCUCGAUGCCUAGCCUCCGUAACCUGCGGAUUUGGAUGUCAGAGAACACUUUCUUACUCAUUUACUGAGGGUACCAGACGAUUAAGAGAGCCUUUGUCUGUCUGGGUCAGCUAUGAAAUAUCCGAGUGUCAAUAGCAGCAGCCACAAGGUUAUUAGCGGCAGUGAUGGCGUGGAUGUCACCAGUGUGGUGGAGAUUAAACUCUUCCAUAAGAAUGACCUGGGAAUAGCCACCUCCUGGCAGCGCCACCUUUAUCCCAAAGGUGGGCCCUGAGAAGGCUGUUGCAACACGCAAAAACAUUCUGAUGCAGGUGGGGCGCCGAAGGGCUUGCACCAGCCGAUGGUGGUUGUGCUCUUCCCUUCUCCAGGGGUGUUGGAGUACUUCCAGUCACCACAACAUAUUUCCCGUCUGGCCGAUGCUUCAGGUGAUCUAGUGCUGACAGUAAGACCUUGGCCUUUGUUUCUCCAUACAAUUCCACCUCCUCAGUGAGUAGCCCAAUUUCUCGGGCCAGGUUACAGAUGAGCUUGGGUUUGCAAGAUCGUGAUAUAGCAAUGUCACUUGGGACAGGCGUCUGAGGUUCAGUUUGUUAUACUGAACUGUCCAUUCCCUGGCUUAAAUUUCUUCAGGAAGCAUUGUGCGCUCUCUACUGUGCUCUGCAUCAGUAUUGCCACGGUCAUGGGCCCCACGCCAUCGGGCACAGGCGUGAUAAAGCUCGCCUUCUCCUUGGCUCGUCAUAUGCUACAUCACCCACAAUUUUCCUUCCACUUGGAUUUUGUAUCAUCUGGAACACAAUUGAUCCCACAGUCUAUGACCACAGCUCCAGGCUUGAUCAACUCCCCUUUCACAUCUCAGGCUGUCCUGUUGCAACCACCAGAAUGUCUCCUUUAUUUACCUCCUUGUCCAGAUUGGCAGUCUUGGAGUGGCAGGUGGUCACCGUGGCAUUGUUCCACAGAAGCAGGUCGUGCAUGGGUGCACCAACUCUUUACCUUCGCCCGACCACACCACCACGGUGUGCCUUCCUGCAAUCUGCACUCUGUCUCUUUGAUGAGUUCCAAGCAUCCUUUGGGUGUGCACAGAAUGAAGCAGUCGUUUAGAUCACCUCUGGCAAGCUUCCGGCAUUGAUGCUCGUCAACCCGUCCACAUCCUUCUCAGGGGCAAUGGCAUUGAUGACUACCUCUGUGUUAAUGGAAUUCUCUGAGUCUAAAGGCAGCUGCACCAUGAAUCCGUGCACAGUGGCAUCCUCAUUCAGGGAGAUGAUGUAUUUUAACACCUCCGACUCUGUGGAAGUUCUUGGUAAUUUAAUGUGAGUGGCUUUGAUCCCAAUCUCUUCAGCAGCCUUCAGCUUCACAUUUAUAUAAAGAUUGGAAUCAUCUCUGUCGCCAACCUGCAGGAUUGCCAGGCCAGGGGUGAAGCCAGGUACCUGCUCCUGCAUCUGAGUAAACUGGGUCUUCAGUAGAUUCCUGAUUUGCGCGGAGACCACUUUUCCGUUCAGGAUUCCCGCUGGUGCCAUGGCCUUAGCUAGUCUGCGACCCACGAAGAACACCAGCAAAAUUCAGGUUCCAGUCCCUCCGUGCGCGUACCGGACAGCACAACC
ensembl:lncRNA